AGGGAAUGCUGAUGUCUGCACCCCAGAACAGUAUAAGGACUGUGCUGACCCAGCCUUGGAGUUUCUGGUGGAACAGGACAGUAGUUACUGUAUGUGUGAGACUCCCUGUAACGUGACACGGUUUGGGAAAGAGAUUUCCAUGGUGAAGAUUCCCAGCAAAGCCUCAGCAAAAUUCCUCGCCAAGAAAUUUAACAGAACAGAGCAGUACAUCAUGGAGAACAUUCUGGUGCUGGACAUUUUCUUUGAGGCUCUAAACUACGAGACCAUCGAACAGAAGAAAGCCUAUGAGGUUGCGGGAUUACU